rnacentral:rRNA from 1 species
AGGGUUUGAUUAUGGCUCAGGAUGAACGCUGGCGGCGUGCCUAACACAUGCAAGUCGAGCGAAGCGGUUUUAAGGAAGUUUUCGGAUGGAAUUAAAACUGACUGAGCGGCGGACGGGUGAGUAACGCGUGGGUAACCUGCCUCAUACAGGGGGAUAACAGUUAGAAAUGGCUGCUAAUACCGCAUAAGCACACAGCUUCGCAUGGAGCAGUGUGAAAAACUCCGGUGGUAUGAGAUGGACCCGCGUCUGAUUAGCUAGUUGGUAAGGUAACGGCUUACCAAGGCGACGAUCAGUAGCCGACCUGAGAGGGUGACCGGCCACAUUGGGACUGAGACACGGCCCAA